rnacentral:rRNA from 1 species
UACGAAGGGGGCUAGCGUUGUUCGGAUUUACUGGGCGUAAAGCGCACGUAGGCGGAUCGAUCAGUCAGGGGGUGGAAUCCCAGAGCUCAACUCUGGAACUGCCUUUUGAUACUGUCGAUCUGGAGUAUGGAAGAGGUGAGUGGAAUUCCGAGUGUAGAGGUGAAAUUCGUAGAUAUUCGGAAGAACACCAGUGGCGAAGGCGGCUCACUGGUCCGGUACUGACGCUGAGGUGCGAAAGCGUGGGGGAGCAAACAGG